rnacentral:misc_RNA from 1 species
GUGGAGUCUAUAGAGGGUACUCACCGUCCUUUGAUAAGUCGCGGAAAUUACCAAUAAUGUUGCAGUUCCACGGCGGUGGAUGGGUGAGUGGGAGCAAUGAUUCGGGGGCUAAUGAUUUUUUUUGUAGAAGGGUUGCGAAACUCUGUGAUGUUGUGGUGGCUGUUGGGUAUAGAUUGGCUCCCGAGAACAGGUAUCCAGCUGCUUUUGAUGAUGGGCUGAAGGUUUUGAAUUGGUUGGGGAAGCAGGCAAAUUUGGCUGAGUGCAGUAAAUCCAUGGGAAAUGCCAAGGGUGGCACGGAGUUCAAGAA